AUGAUGACACGCAAGAAAUGUGAUUCUGCAGAACUGCAAAAUCUGGAGAAGAUAAUGAAUAUUCAUAAAGAAUUGAUAAAAAGAAGAGAAAAUAUGAAGGAUAUUCCUGAAGAAGCUGUAUCAGUAGGAGAGUUUCUAUUACAGGUAUGGACAAGGACUGCCAGCAAUCAGCACCUAUAUGUUCAUUUGCUACUGAAUAGAAAAUUUCUGCUCUGGUUUCCAGAGAUAAAAGAAGUUGUUCAUAAUAAGAUGUUCUCAAAGCACUGGAAAUGAUAGCCGUUCAAGCCUUCCACAAGUGUAUUGCAACAGGAAUGAAGAUACAUGCAGAGAACGUAGGGGUGGCAGAAAAAAGACAGCUGACAGUGUCACAGAACAAGCCAGGUGAGAUUUUACAUUUGUUUAAGUACAUUGGAAGUGCAAGGGCUUCUCUGCAUAGGUAGCACAAGAGCCUUCUGGUCAUUUAGGCUGCCAUAAUGUGAAAUAUUAUCAUAGGCCAGAAAGCAAAAUGAAACAACAGGCUUCUGGGAAUGCCUUUCAUUUUUAAGACUGCAGUUCUCAGUGCUUUCCAGUAUAUUACAUUUGUACUUCCACUCUUUCCUGAGAACAUUAUUCUUUGUAAAGUACCUAUGGCCAAACAGCAUUCAGAACUAGUUAUUCCCCUCGUCUGUGUUAACACAGGGUGUGUCCUGUUUUAUUCCCUGUUAUGAAUGCUCACAUUAUUAUUAAGUUUUGUUCACACAAACGUUUGUGAAACUGCUGCUUUAUUCAAAUAAAACCUCUCUGUGUGGAAAAAAAAAGGAAAAA
rnacentral:lncRNA from 1 species